GUGAUAAUCACCAUUCAAUCAUACAUAUUAAUAAACAUGUAUAUCAUCGGCUAUUUUAUUAGCUAAUCACUAGCAAGUAUUUACACAUCAUUCAUUGUUCAUAUUAUACCAAAAGUAGCUAAGUUUCUAUACAUGCCAUACCCAAAACAAAACGUCUAAUUAUACCGAGUUAUUUCUUUGAUAGUGUGAUCGGCAUCCGACGUUUCCUU
rnacentral:lncRNA from 1 species